rnacentral:rRNA from 1 species
CUUGGUCAUUUAGAGGAAGUAAAAGUCGCUAACAAGGUUUCCGUAGGUGAACCUGCGGAAGGAUCAUUACAGAAUGAAAAGUGCUUAACUGCAUUUUUUCUUACACAUGUGUUUUUCUUUUUUUGAGAACUUUGCUUUGGUAGGCCUUCUAUAUGGGGCCUGCCAGAGAUUAAACUCAACCAAAUUUUAUUUAAUGUCAACCGAUUAUUUAAUAGUCAAAACUUUCAACAACGGAUCUCUUGGUUCUCGCAUCGAUGAAGAACGCAGCGAAAUGCGAUAAGUAAUAUGAAUUGCAGAUAUUCGUGAAUCAUCGAAUCUUUGAACGCGCAUUGCGCCCCUUGGUAUUCCAAAGGGCAUGCCUGUUUGAGCGUCAUUUCUCCCUCAAACCCUCGGGUUUGGUGUUGAGCGAUACGCUGGGUUUGCUUGAAAGAAAGGCGGAGUAUAAACUAAUGGAUAGGUUUUUUCCACUCAUUGGUACAAACUCCAAAACUUCUUCCAAAUUCGACCUCAAAUCAGGUAGGGAUACCCGCUGAACUUAAGCAUAUCAAUAAGCGGAGGA